GGACCUCACAGCAGGUCUCCGAAGGCCAGACCUCCACCUGGUGCCUGGGUAGAGAUUGGGGCAGCCAAAGCCCAAGGCCUUGCGACAAGGUCUGCAGGAAGGUGGGUCUCGGGGGCCAGAGCCCAGGGGUGCUCUGGGCCCAGGGCAGAAGGGCUCUGAGGGCCAGGUGUGCCCAAGAAGACGUGAGGACGGCUGACCCUGAGAGUCGUCUGGGUGUCCCGUCUAGGGUGAUAGCAUUGAGGACAGCUCCUGGGGAGCCAGGGGCUGGGGACACACUGGACGCUGAGGUCAUCCCGUGAGUUCCAAGAUGAGCUCAUCCUAGAGCCAGGAGCUCUGGCCGUGGCCAUGCCCUGUCUGCCCCAGGACCCCAGCCCCAUGGGGAGUCCCGGGUCUGUGAGCUGGCCUGCUGUGCUGCCAGAACCCUGGCUGCCUGGGUGGCCCUGGACAGUGUCCUCGGUUUUCCCAGAUUGUGCCCUCCCCUCCUAUUCCUGGGCCAGGAAGUCUGACAGCCUCUGUGCGGGUCAGGGUGACAACCACAAGACCCGGGGCAGGCAGGCUGCCCGGGAGGUGGUCCUGCUGCACGUGGGGAGGAGCAGGCCAGGGGUGUGGAGAGCAGGGGCAGCCUGGGCGGCUGGGGGCUGGGGAGCCAGGUUGCAGUGGACGGAGCAGGCCCCGGCGCUGAGGCACCAGAAGGAGCCUCGGGGUGGCCAGUGUCAAGUGAAAAGGUCUGAGAGCGGCCAGUGCCAGCCAUCUUCGGGAUGGAGGGGCCCGUAAGAAGCCCCUCCCCGGGCCGCCUUCCCGCCCAGCUCCCCCUCACUUCCUCCUCUCCCCGAGAGCCUGGGGCGGCAGGCUGGCAGGGGCCGGGGGUCUCUCAGUUCCUCACUUGCUGGGGUACAGGAGGCUCACGGCGUGGAUGGUGGGCUGCACAGGGUCACCGUGUCCUUCUAUGAGUACGCUGGGCACGUGGUGGGGAGUGAGGGGCGGCUUGGCCCUGGCCCCAAGGGGCACACUGAGAUCAGAUGGCCAAGGUGCCAGUCCCCUGGACCAGGGGAUGGUACUCCAGGUAGAGGGACGCCCUGCAGCAAGAGCCCUGAGGUGGGGACAAGCAGGGACAGCUGUGACGUGGGGGUAAACUGAG
rnacentral:lncRNA from 1 species